rnacentral:rRNA from 1 species
AAUCUUGCGCAAUGGGCGAAAGCCUGACGCAGCGACGCCGCGUGAGGGACGAAGGCCUUCGGGUCGUAAACCUCUGUCCUUGGGGACGAUGAUGACGGUACCCAAGGAGGAAGCCCCGGCUAACUACGUGCCAGCAGCCGCGGUAAUACGUAGGGGGCGAGCGUUGUCCGGAAUUAUUGGGCGUAAAGGGUGCGUAGGCGGCAUGGCAAGUCCUGUGUGAAAGGUCGCGGCUUAACCGCGGUAGGUCAUGGGAAACUGCUGUGCUUGAGUGCCGGAGAGGAUAGCGGAAUUCCACGUGUAGCGGUGAAAUGCGUAGAUAUGUGGAGGAACACCAGUGGCGAAGGCGGCUAUCUGGACGGUAACUGACGCUGAGGCACGACAGCUGGGGGAGCAAACA